GUGGGAGAGGAUGAUUAUGUUCUGGAUGAUUUUGUCUGUGUGUGUGUGUGUGUGUGUGUGUGUGUGUGUAUAUGAAUAUUUUACAGCAUGUUGGUUUUAAAAUUAACAUAAUAAGCGCUGUAAAAUAGGAUUCUUUUGGAUUCGAUUAAUCUCUUUCAGUUGAUUUUUUGGAAGAAAACAAAGCUUAAGUGGGGCUUUUGUUCUUAUGGCAGCAAAAUUAAGAGACGCUUUAAACCACCGUCAGCAUGUACAGUGCCUCUGAUUCUGCAGAAAGUUAGACUCAGUGGCAGCGCUUAAACCUUUUGACUCUCUUCAAGUCCAGUGGAUGAUGUACAUCAUGCUUAAAGUCCACAACAGCUGGUUUUCAUACAGCCAACUAUACAGAAGUGAGAUAUUCUAACUGAUACAUGUGCUAGAAGACUAUUAAUGGGAAAGCGGACCAGGCAAGAGAAAAACACACAAAGGAAACAGAAGCAUGUGCCAUACAAUACUAUCAUUCCAAAUCCUCAUGGAUUAUUGCCUGUUCUGAAAAAUAUUUGAAACUGCACUGAAAGCUGCAUCUGUAUCUUUUCUUUUGUAAAUGACCUCACAUGUAAAUUCACCGAAUAAAUAUUACAUUCAAG